CUCAACCAAGAAGGUCAGAGUUCACGACUCAGACAGAUUUCCAGACAGAACCUCCUGGAGGAUCCUCAGAGGUUGAGAGGAGGAAGAAGAGGAAGCUUCCUCAAACAUCUGCAUGAUCCCGGUGAUCCCAGCAGAAACCAUCAAACCCUCCAGCCGGUUUGUUCAGCUCGGUUGUCAUGGAGACGGAUUGUGUGGAGCUGCAGCUCUCGGUCCGGAUCGGGUUGUUCUGCCUUGAGUUCCUGCCCAGUUUCCCUCGCUGAAGUACUCCUGCAGCCGCAGCCUCUCCUCACUGACGGCCUGCAGAGCUCUGAGGACGGACGGCUGAGAAACUCCACGUCUGCGCAGCUGAACCGGCGCCUGAUGGGCCUCAGGUCAGUCACCUCCAGACUCUCCACUCGGCUUUAGGAUUCUCCUGAGGAGAGGCGGUUCCUCUGCUACAACAUUCUGCAUGUUUGAGCUGAUCCGGA